GAUGUACGUACUUGGUUCCCUUUCGCCUUCCAUCAUGAUGGAGGGACCAAAACAGAGCAUGGAUGCACACUGCCAAUAUAUCCGAACUCCCUGGAAAACUGCAGAGAUGCAGCGUGACCUCCACGGGAAAUGAAGGUAUCCGUCAGCUGAGUCCCAGCCUUCCAGCCAGAGCACCUUCUCCGUCACCCGUAGCUCUCACACGUAUGUCUUCUCUCCCCUGCUGGACUGUGAGUGCCCUCGUCUUUGACGGGAGCCAAGGCUACUCCGUCACUGGGGGCAAGUCCAAAAUGCUUUCAGAAAAAAUGCAUCCAUAAAGAAGAAAUGGCAAUGCAGGAUCAUUCCAAAGCAGUGUUGUAAAAAUAAGUGCAGUCUUUGCC
rnacentral:lncRNA from 1 species